rnacentral:misc_RNA from 1 species
UGAGUUUAACACUAAAUAAAAUCUCUAUAAUAAGAGUUCAAUCAGAAAUAUAAAUUAAGCUUUUGAUUCAAGGGGGAAAAAAUUUAAGUGAAGAAUAAAUGACAAUUUUAUAGGUAUAUAGUUAGUAGGUAGGGAACUUUGGAUCCACGUUGUGAGUCCAUGACUCUAAGCCCCCUAUUAUAUCCUUUGCUGAAGUAAAACCCAAUUUGUGAAGCAAUUCAACAGCAACUUGUGAAUCAUUGCCUCUUCUGCAUAUUACAAACAGAGAAGUAUUUG